AGAAACUAUUCUCAUCCAAUUUGG
rnacentral:siRNA from 1 species